rnacentral:sRNA from 1 species
AUGUACCACUUCUACAGUCCGAUUCUGAGCGCGCCGUCCACACCCACCGACGACGGCUCACCAUGAUUGGUAGCC